GGGUGAGAUCAUACCAGCAUUAAUGCACCAGAUCCCAUCAAAACUCCGCAGUUAAGCGCGCUUGGGCUAGAGUAGUAUUGGGAUGGGUGGCCUCCCAGGAAGUCCUAGUGUUGCACCUA
rnacentral:rRNA from 1 species